UACGUAGGUGGCAAGCGUUACUCGGAAUCACUAGGCGUAAAGCGCAGGUAGGCGGUUGGAUAAGUCUGUUGUGAAAGCUCCCGGCUUAACUGGGAGAGGUCAACGGAAACUAUCCGGCUAGAGUGUGGUAGAGGAAGAUGGAAUUCCCGGUGUAGCGGUGAAAUGCGUAGAUAUCGGGAGGAAUACCUAUGGCGAAAGCAGUCUUCUGGACCAUCACUGACGCUGAUCUGCGAAAGCUAGGGGAGCAAACAGG
rnacentral:rRNA from 1 species